GCCAGGUGCGGUGGUGCGCACCUGUAAUCUCAGCUACUCAGGAGGCUGAGACAGGAGAAUCACUUGAACCCGGGAGGUGGAGGUUGCAGUGAGUUGAGAUCGUGCCACUGCACUCCAGCCUGGGUGACAGAGUGAGACUCUGUCUCAA
ensembl:misc_RNA Metazoa_SRP Metazoan signal recognition particle RNA